CUGGAGUUCAGAAGUGUGGUUUUCAGAUGUAGAAUUUAGUGAUUGAUCACUUACACACAACACCUGGUGCUCAUCACAGACGUGGCCUCUGUAAUGCCCACCACCUAUUUAACCCAUCCCCCUGCCCACCUCCCCUCUAGUAACCCUAAGUUUGUCCUCUGUAGUUAGGAGUAUUAUUUCCUGGUUUGCCUCUCUUGCCCCCCCCCCCCCCAUGAUUUUAUUUUGUAAAAAUGUUUGUUAGGUUUAUUCUUGACUAUCGUCAUUUUAUUGCUGUCAUGAUUAGGAUCUUUUAGAGUUAUAUUUCUAAUUGAUUCUUGCUAUGGUAUAGAAAAGUUAUUGGUAUAGAAAACAUGUAGGUUUUUGUUGAUUGCCGUACUGAGCUCUUUUGUUCAUUCUCCCAUAGACUGCUUUGGAUUUUCUUUCUUUCUUUCUUUCUUUCUUUCUUUCUUUCUUUCUUUCUUUGAGAGAGAGGGCACAAGUG